CGAGGGAGUGGUUCGUAAGAUAUAGGCUGCUGUUUAUAAUCUUUUAUCGAAGAGAAAAAGAAUAAAUACUAAUAAUAACAAGAGAAAAAAAACGAUGACUCUUUGAAGAGACGAUCCACUCUUCCUAAGAAAAACAAACUCUCCUUAAUUGGCCUCGGUGUGAAACGCUCGAGGGGCCUUAAUUUUUUUCUCGUUCUCUAUCGUGUGUAUACAUAGGCGUCUUCAUAAAUGGCGCGCGAGAGAUUUGGAGCUUUCUUGGUUAGGUCGAGAGGGUGAGAACGAGAGGGAUGGUGAGUGACUUUAAUAUGUGUAUUAUUUCGUUGCAAUGAGCAAGCAAUAGAACGUAAUUAAUUAAAUAGAUAUGUAGAGAUAUGCAAGAUUUUCUGAUAAGAUUUACAGAUAUUAUAGAUAUUAUUGCGAGACUUAAAAUUUAUAUUUUUUUUUAAACGAUAAAAUGUAUUCUCUUAUCAGAAAAAAUUAUAGAAAUAUAAUCUCUUUUUCUAAUGUUCCACUAAUCCAGUCUAUCGGAGGAAAAAAUUUAUUAUUUGUUCGAAUUUGAAUUUAGAUUUUGUAUCUCUUCCUCUUGUUUUGUUUUGUUUUUUCUUUUGUUGAAACAAUUAUUGAAACGACAGGAAAUUAUGAUAGUUGGUAAUAGUGUCUUCCGGAGAAUUGCUUUUAUCUUUAAAUUUUUAUAAAUAGGAGAAGAUACGGAAGAUUUAUCUUUUAAAUAAUGGAAAAUUUGAGAAAAUAAAUUUUAUUUUGAAAAUAUAAAAAAAGAAGAAAUGGUUAAUGUAAUGUAAAUACAAUUCGAUCAUAUCGAUCAUAAAAUAAGUCUAAAAAGAUGGAGAUUUCUAAGAAAUUUAGGUAUGGAAAUGGUUUUAUGGAAAUAAUCUUGAUAAUAUUUAUCUAGGAAAAAUAAUGAUUCUUUUUGAUUUUAUUAAAAAAAAAAUAAAUAAAUAAAUAAAAUAAAGUUAUUUAUCAAUUCGAUAUAUCUUCAUUUCAAGUAUACCUUCCAAGUUAUAAGUAUUUCUCUACAGGAAGCUUUCUUUAUUGACAUAUCUAAAUAUAGACUAUCUUCAAAUUAUCGUUGAAGUAUUAAUUACAUAUCGAUUGCAAACUUUUUUCUUAUAAUAAUAAUAGAUACGAAUACAAAUACUUUUCUUUUUCUUUAAAUAUGAUCGAUAAAUUGGAAUUAAAAAUUUAAUUAGACAUAUAAAAUUCUUCUUUUUAUAUUGUUCUCUUAAAGGUUCUCGAGAUUGUGCAGAAAGAACAAAAAAAAGUAGUUCUUUUUUAAUUCUUUUUAUUUAUUUCUCUUUUUCCUUUUUCCUUCCACGAUCCAAAGGAUCAAAACAAUGGACUCGCGAAAGAAGGAAAGGAAAAGACUUACUUCUCUGUUGAACAUUACGCGAAUCCUUGAGAAUCCGCGUCUAUCUUAUCUCAAAGUGUAAUAGCUCGCUCGUUCGAGUGGAUACAAAAAUCUACAUGAAAAAGCGAUACGUACUUGCACGUUUGUUACAAUCCUGGCGUGUUACGUGCGAACGAAGUGGCCACACAGGAAUUAUCUGAACUGAGGCAUAUGACACCCUGGCCAAGGAGAGCAGAAGCAGUGGGCGUCUGUUCCGUCAUUGAGACUAAGCAGAUGAUAUCGCCAGCAAAGUUUUGAAAGAGAAACAGAGGAGAAAAGGGCGCAUGGACUCGGUGGAGAAUACAGCUUCAUCUGACAGCUACUUGGGUGUCGUGUGAAAUUCCGGAAAAAUUAUUACCCCGUGCCACACUUAUCUGUCGACUUGAGCUUCCAGCCAGCUCUUGAACGGUGGAAGGGUGAUUUUUGGUGAAAGAAUGGAGGGAAAUUAAGGGAUUUUCUGGAUUUCUAAAAUUAUUUUAUCGAGAGAAACUUAUAUUCUUUCUUUGAGACGCUUCUUUCUAUUUCUAUGCCUUGUGAAAAAUAUGAAAAUAAUAACGAAUAUUUAUAAUCUUUAAUUCAAUACAUCCUUAUAUCAAUCGAUUAAGUGAAAACCAAUUGUUUCGUUUUUAUUAUUCCCUUUGUGUAAAUUAUUCGCUAAAUAAAUAUAUAUAUGUAAUUAAAAUUUGCGUGAAAGCGAGACAGUUUUGUUAUACCAUUGCGCCACAGUGCUGCGCGACAUGUCACUCUAUCUCCAUCUCGUUUCAUUUAAAAAAAAAUAUUUAAAUUGUAGUAAAUAAUAAAUUACAAUAAUUACAAAAAUUUUUCGUACACUAAUUUUUGUUUUUUUUAGAAUUGUCCCCACAAUACCGACAUUCUGUAUUUUUUUAUAACAACUUUAUUGUUUCGAAUAUUUAUUUACACAAAUUUAUUUUUCCCUGGAAAGAAAGAAAAUACCUUUUACAAAGCAGAACGGUAGAAAGAAUUUUGUUCCAAGUAUAAAUUAUAAGUUUUGAAGGUAAGUUUUGUGAGGCAAAUUUUAUUUUCCAUAGUUAGUACAAUAAUACACGCGAAAGUUCAGACAUGCCGUGACAAUAUUUUGAACAGGAUGGUAGUAAGUUUCAGAUGGCGAGACCUACGGAAGGUUUGCUAGGUAGGACGGAUUUUUACUCCGUAAUCUGUGAACAAUGGUUUUAUGCAUUUAUGUUUAUUAUUUUUACAACUUUGUAGGAGGAGUAACGGGCUCUCCAACUGCGCCCGAAAAGCAAUUUAAUAUCGGGCCCCUUUUAUCAGAAGACACUUUGUUAACGACACAAGAAUUAGUAGCAUGAGAGCAGGUUUUAAAGUCAUUGUCUUCUGUGAUUUCGAUAAUUCUUUUUCCAAGGAAUUUUCCUUUUUUAUUCUAAAUUAAUUUAAUUUACGAAACAAUUUUGUUAGUAUUGUUUAAAUUAUUUAUUGUUCUUCUAAUUAAUGUCACAAUUAACAGAUCUUUUGCAAAAAAAGGAAAAAAAAAGUUCAUUCAACGAUAAGUUUUCUUUUUCACAAUUUUGUUUUUUUUUAAAUUUUUAAAUAAUUAGAAAUCAGUAAUUUCCAAUUAAAAAGUCACAUUAGAAUUUUCAUAAGAUAACAUCCAUCCUAUUUUUCAAGAUACCUGAGCAAAAUUCAAUCUAAAGAUGCAGAAGUCUUGUGUUUAUUCAAAAAUAAAAAAAAGAAAGAAAGAAAGAAAGGAGAAAAAGAGAAAAUUUUUUUCUUCCAUUCAACAAUAAAAUCAUAAAAACUUUGGUGUUGUAAUCUGGGCUGCAAGGCACAUCGGCUCGUGCCGCUUCCUCCGACUUGAAGCCAAUGAUUUAAAGUACUAUUAGAGUGCUACGUGAAAAGAAGAAGAAAGCAAAAAAAAAACAUAUAACCUAGAAAGAAAAUACACACAAAAUUAAAAAAGUAAAAAAUUUUCGCGUCAAAUUUUCUUUCCUUUUCCUAUUUCCAAUUUUGCAUUAAUUCAAAACUGAUCUUACGUUCUUUAUUUAAAAAACAAUCUUCUCUGAUAACGAUUUUCUUUAAUGAUCCCAAACUUUUGACCAAGUUACGCACACCACGACGGUAAAGGAAAAUGAUUGGGAGGAUUUCCGGGGCGACCUUAGACAAAUUUGAUUUCGCACGGCGAAGUCGCGUUGACUUUUCAUGGAAACUUCGCUGCUAAGACAAUAUCUAAUAUUUUACGGGCAAACAACUCUUUCGACACUUCUUGCUGGCGGGUAUUCCCCGCUUGUACGAAACCGUGCCAAUCCCCUCACGUACCUGGCUAUAAGGAUUUACCACAAAACGUGACGAUUAUGAGAAUCUGUUACAAACUUACUCACUUACUUACUCACUCACUCGCUUCGUCCUAGCUGGAAUUUUGAGAUUGUUCUCUUGAGAGAUUUAGGAAAAGGAUUUGAAGGAAUCGAGUGAAUAAGACUUUUGAAAGAAGCAUUGUUAUUCGUGUCGAAUGGAUUCUCUUUGAUGAGAUCGAAACUGACUGAUUCCUGAAAUUUUACGAAUCAUAUUGUAAAUUGGAAAUUUGUGCACGUUGUUUCUGGACGAAGUAGAAAUACGUUUUGAUCCUUGGUAUUAAUAAUAUUUGAAGGAUUGGAUCUCGAAAUUAUCAACGUUAUUUAAUUUUAUUGGAAAUUCGAACACGAAGUGGAUAUGUUCAACGCAUGUGUGGUCCAAAUAAAUUACGAGACGAUCAUCCUCGUUUAAUUAGUGCGAGCAGAACAAGGAUUGUUACCAGGAGAAAGAAAUCUGCAGACAAGCACACGCUGCAUUCAAAAAGGACCCUUUUUUUUUUUCGUUUGUUUCUCUCGUAACACGAUUCCUUGCGGUGGAGGACAUCUGUGUGUUGGGAACUUGAAAAAUAAGGAAUGUUAAAAAAAUGUUCCUUGUUCCUGUUAUUCGAACCCUGGGAAGAAGAAGGGGGGGUGAAAAGGGGGGCACUUAAAAAAGAUAAGAUACUUUUAAUUGUAUAUUAUGAAAUCGUAUAAAUCACUGCACAACUAGUCAACAGAUAAUUAUUUAUUUAUUUUAUUAAUUAUUAUACGUAAUAUCAGCGAGCAAUAUUGACAAUUGUUGGGAAAUAUAUACGUUUACAAAGAAAUUCAAUUUCCUUUUUUUUUUUUUUUUUUUUUUUACCGAGAACAGUGAGUUUCCGUAAUUAAUCAUUUUGAAACGAGUAUCGAUUUCUUGAUUAUCAGCCAGUUCUUGAAAAAAAAUGACAAACUGAUCGAUUCGAUUGCGAUAAAUUUUUGUUAAGUACAAAAAUAUUUUAUACAAGGAAAUUUCAUAUUCGAAAUAUACUCGAAAUUUAAGUUUUAAGAUUUUUAAAACGGGUUCUAAAGUAUUUCGAAAUUUUUAGGGUGACAAACCUUUCUUGUCGAAUCGAGCUCGAACUCUUGUUUACAUUCAAAAGUUUGUAAUUAACAGAUACUAUUGGCAAACGAACACUCAUCUCUUCGAGUCUAGAGCGAAAAAUUAUUAAGAACGAUUUUUAACGAUCACGAUUAUAAGAUAACGAUAGCUAUAGAUAACGAGUUAUAAUUAUAAAAGUGAUUAAUAUCGAUAAUAUUUUAUCGAUGAAUAUGCCAACAAAUUUUCCGAUAAUAGAUAUUGAUUGAGCAAAGUGAAUAUAAGCACUACAAUGUAAGAAAAAAAAAAAGAAUGGACAAUUAUCGGGUUAUAAAAGAGAGAAAAAAAGAAAAAUUAUUAAUAAUUACAUGAACGAUAAUUUCCUCUUAAUGUUUCUUUAAUAUCUUUUUAAAGAAUCUGGUUACAAAUUUUCCAAAUAUUAAUUUUCUUUGUUCGUGCCAUUAAAUAAUUACAUUAAAAACUUACUAUUUUAAAAUUUAUUAUUAAUAAAUAGCGUUUGAACGAAAUAUUCAGAUGAGUGUAAAAUCAAUGGAACGAGAAAUAAAGAAAAUUGAAAGAAAAGGAAUUAGAAUCAAUUUCAUCUUCGUGCUCCAAAACGAGGAAUGACAAGAGGCUGUUCAGCCGUUUACAUCGUUGAAGAUAAACUUUCUCGUCUACUGCCAGGACAGUGAUUAGCUUCGAAAGUUAUAUUACAAACAGUCUGUCAUCCCUUGGCGUUGAUAUUCGAGUGGCUCGAGUGUUCCUCAACCUCGAAAGAAGCUGCGAAGAAAAAGAAGAUAAAGAAGGAGGGACGUGUCAUUGGAGUCACGCAGUCUGUUUCAUUCUUAUAAACGUAUGGCUCGAUAAUAAUUAACCCGGUAAUUACGUUAAAGUGUAAUAACAAUUUCUUACAAACAUUAUAUAACGAGAUUCGUUAUUUUUUUCACGUUAUUUCCGUAAAGAAAACUACAAUUUAUUUUAUCGAAACGUAACAAUCAUCCUGAGAUUACGUUUACUCGAAUUAAAAUUUUUAUUUUAACUCACAAGAUGAAAUUAUCCUUGUUAUCAUUCUACAAAUCGGUAAAUAUAUAAUCAUAUGUUUAAAAUAUUUAUUUACAAUUAUAUUUAAACAUUUAUAAUUAUACGUAUUAAAAUUAUCUCGCACAAUAACAAUUUAAGACUUAUCAAAGGCCAGGGUAAUGUAAUACCCGAUCCAUCGUAAUCUACGAAUGCCUGUCGCGAAUUAUUAAACAUACGCGACCGUACGUCAAUUCCAACGUUUAUAUUUACCAGUAGACUUAACAACGAAAGGAAAGAGGAGGUGUGGAUCGGAGCGAGGGAGAAAGAGCGACGACUGCGGCGUACAAAGACGUUGAGGGGAUGACGGGAGGAAAGGGGGUGGAGAGAAAGGCAAGGGGAUGUGUCUGGCUGAUGGAGCUUGAAACUGAAUUAACCAUCCCCGCCCGAGGGCCGUGAUCUCGUCGCAACCUCAUCUCGGGGUCCCAUUAUAUUUGUCUUUGUAUGCUAAACAUUUUGCAGAAUUAUACGGAGAGCUAAGU